CCUACGGGUGGCAGCAGUGAGGAAUAUUGGUCAAUGGACGAGAGUCUGAACCAGCCAAGUAGCGUGAAGGAUGACUGCCCUAUGGGUUGUAAACUUCUUUUAUAUGGGAAUAAAACGUUCCACGUGUGGGAUUUUGUAUGUACCAUAUGAAUAAGGAUCGGCUAACUCCGUGCCAGCAGCCGCGGUAAUACGGAGGAUCCGAGCGUUAUCCGGAUUUAUUGGGUUUAAAGGGAGCGUAGGUGGAUUGUUAAGUCAGUUGUGAAAGUUUGCGGCUCAACCAUAAAAUUGCAGUUGAAACUGGCAGUCUUGAGUACAGUAGAGGUGGGCGGAAUUCGUGGUGUAGCGGUGAAAUGCUUAGAUAUCACGAAGAACUCCGAUUGCGAAGGCAGUUCACUGGACUGCAACUGACACUGAGGCUCGAAAGUGUGGGUAUCAAACAGGAUUAGUACCCCAGUAGUC
rnacentral:rRNA from 1 species